GAAACCCUCUGCAACACUGUCAUACCGUAUUUACAAGUGGAAAUGUCAGUUUGAGAAUCCUUCAUGAGAUGAUGAGAUAUUGUUGUGAAUACCGAGCAUGUGGUUCAUAUCUCAGUGUUGCAGCAGAUCAAAACCUUUUUCCUCCUAAUCAACAUUUUCAUUUACAAUAUUCCGGUCUGGGAAUUACUUGAGGACAGCCGAAGCGCGUGAAAAAUUGUUCAGCAAAGGCUGAGGCAAUUGCGGUGGAAUCAGUAGAACGUAAUCGAAUAGCCUCGGAAUAUUCAGUUAAACCAUCCUGAAUACUCAAUUUCUACUUUUUCAAAGGCCUCUGAGGGUGCAUCGGUAAUGCGCAUAGAAAUUUUCGCGAAUUCUAAGGUGGCUCUUCUAUCUCCCCAUAGCAGAUAGAUAUCUCAUGCAUAAGUCGAUUCUGAGGUUAUGUUUUUUAGGGUGGACACGCUGGGGCUUACAUACAUGGCGAGUUGAAUACUAC